AUGAGAUCAACAAGCUAAUUGGUGAAGCAGAUGCUCUGUAAUAUUUGAGAUUAUGGCUGUCAUGUACCCAUAAGCAGUCAUUUGGUGCAGGCAAAGGCAUUCUCAGAGGCCAAAAAAAAUUCAGAGGUGAAUUUUGAAAGAGCUUUUACAGCUAUCUUUCAUUGACACGCGCAAAAGAAUGCGAGUUUCUACGGAGGUUUACUUACAUCCAUUUACGUUAUAAGCACUAAGCAAUCCCUUAACUUCAUGAAGUUCCGCACCAAGGCAAGGUUUCCUGUCAGCAAAAGAAGCUUUCAGUUUGUGCCUCCAAAUUGUCCUCCAAAGUGGUGGUGUAAGAUUAUUGGGCUAACUCUGUUUUCCUAAACUCUUUUAAAAUCGUUACUAGCUUGGAAAGAGAUGAAUUGAAAAUUCUUAAUGGCUUUCACAAUACAGCAAGCCAAGAUUUUCUCCUUGUUUUAUUGUCAAUAUUGGGGAUUUGGUUUCUCCAAAGCAACUGCUAGCCAUCUAGUCUGAGAUCUUUGGAUGAUAAUCAUGAUAUGGAAUGGAAAAAACCAAUCUAAGAUGAAGCCAGUUGUGUUGAAUUGAACUUUUAACGUUUGUAGUCCCAGCUAGUGUUCAAGGUUUUCCAGUUUUGAAAAUAAAUUUCGAUUAUGUCUGUGUUGAGUUGAACUUAAUUGUCCUUUCAGAUUUUAGUCUCAGAUGGUGUUGGUCUUUUUAGUGCCAGCCAAGCUGAGAUGUUCCACUAGAGUUGGGAGUACGUACGGAUGCCAUUGUUCUUUCGGUUACUGGGCAAAAGUUUGGAUAUAGGCUCAUCUGUGCUUGUGGAUACUUAGCUGAACAACCUAUCAGGAGUGGACACAUGGGCAACAUGCUCCAAGUCAGCUCGGAAAACUUAUCAAGGAGCCUCACAUUCACACAUGAUGAGACGUCUGCCCAUGCCUUGUAGCUACUUAAACAGUCAAACAUUAAGGAUCUUCAAUUCCAUGCCUCAAGGGACGAUGUUUCAUCAUUCUCCAUUCAGUUGCAUUCGCUUUUUUACUUGUAUUUUCACAGCUAAACCAUUAUACAGUGUAAUUGACCAUAUUUAUUUUGAUCAUAGUGAAACCACUAGCAAACUACCGUGACGUAGCCCUAAGCUCCAGGCUCUAGCUGAGUUGUGGGUGGUCAUCGUGACGUAGCCCUAAGUUCUAGGCUCUGGCUAAGUUUUGGGUGAACACGUAAUUCUCUUGUGUUAUUUUGUGUGAUUGUCU